rnacentral:rRNA from 2 species
UUGACCUCGGAUUAGGUAGGAAUACCCGC